UUCCCAGCCCAGCUUGCUCCCCACACGCUUGCCUUAAUGUGUGAGGAGGACAGGCUGCAUUACCUACCCAAAACCAGGUGACUUCUGUUGUUUAGAUGUGAUUUGACAGUGGCAGGAUUAUAUUUUUGUUUCUCCUGGAGGAAGGAUUCCUUUCUUUCCCUUGCCACUGCGGUUUGUUGUCAGAGGAAAACUGAUGUGGCCAGCAAGGACUCUGUGCAUAGAGUGGAGCACAUUUGUCUCCAGCUCCCUUAUGCAGCUCUCCUGUGUAGCCUGGAGGAUGCAACAAGGUCUGUAAAGUUGUACAUAGGCUUUUGGUUUUAUUGUUGACUGCUAGACCAAAUGUGUCUGCUGCGAGCAACAGGUCUUCAGCCAGCCCUGCUGCAUGGCGUGGUGGCCUGCUAGUCCUGACCGAAGAGAAGGGCAGGGGCCUGUGAUAGCACUUGGACACCCAAAGAGCCCUUCUGCCAUCCUGAGAGCAAGUUCUGCUGUGCUGCUGGCACAGGCAGUGCCUGUGGGGCUGUGCAGAUCUGUAGGCAUCACAGAGCCGCACUUUGCACUGGGAAGGGCUCUGGCGGGCGAGGAGGGGGUGACUGCACCCUGCGAAGAGCCUGCUGAGGUGUGGGGAAGCCGGUGAAAUGGUGGUAUCCAUGAAGGGAAGGCAGCUCAGGAGUGACCUGUCCCAUGGAGGAAGCACUGAUCCAGCUGAAAACUCUGCUGCAACCCCGUCAGCCCAGCGGUGAGAAAGGAGCUGCUGGCUCAAGAUCACUGCCCAAGAAGGAUGCCUUUUUUCCCAUCCUGGCAGUGGGCUGGGUAUUCCAGUGACAGUGUCUUUUCACCAAUGCCUGCAGGCCCCAGCUGCCAGCAGUCUUCCCUUUGGUGCUAGUUGGUCACAAAGAAUGCUACUGGGGAGUAUGGGGGGCGAGCUCCAGCUCUUUGCAGCAGCCCUGGUGUUUUGUGCUCCAAAGUGGGCAUGGGGUGCUGUGACCUUUUCUGAAACAGCCCAUGGCUGGUCUCACCUCAUCCCUGCCAUCUGUGGCAUGACUGUUCUUGGUGCCAUGCUCUUCAUAAUUGCUGUUUUGUUGUCUUGAAUUUUUCUAAUGCUGGGGGUUGUCCCUGUUCCCCGAGCAUCUAUAUAUAAAUGUACAGAAUAAAGAUCGGAACGAGCACACAUCUG